rnacentral:lncRNA from 8 species
CCUUUGCCUUAGCACUACACAGCUGAUUCAAAUCAUCAAAGCUUGAUGAUGAGUUGAUGAUUUGUAUAAGUUGUGUAGCGCUAAGGAAAAAAGCAUAAUGUGCAUCUUUUUGGGUCCAUAGGACCAGGAUUGAGAGCCACUGGUCUAGACUAAUAGUUUCCUUCCUGUCACACAAUGUGACAGGGCAAACAAGGAACUGAAUUUCUGCAUUCAUACGUACAUAUAGUAUUAUUCCAUUGCGUGGUAAUUCACCUCUACCGGUAAUCCAUGCCCUGCCUCCUUCCACAUGAACAUGUAGAUAAGAAGGAGUAAAAAACAUAUUACAGAAUUUAGAAAGUAUUAAUCCUGCUGAGACAGUGUAUUGGCUAAAGGAUAGGCUUACUAAGUACAGGACCAAGUAAGUCUUGUAUUUGUAUUUAAGAAUACUCUGCAUUUAGAUUUAAAACAUUUGGUUGAUGGCUUCUUAAAAUAUGACAAAUGUAUUUCUCUACUAUCAGAAAAGAUACAUGAUAACAAUACGUGUUUUUAAAGUUAUGUAAAACAUUUUUUAUUUCUGAUAAUUGUUCUAUUUUCUCCACCAUGUACCAUGUUCCCAUGUAGGAAUGGACAGAGGACUUCUCUUUGUGGUCUCUAUGGUGAUGGGCUGUCUGGCUCCAGGUGUUAGUGGAAACGGACAUCUCUCGUUUGCCAAUAAUACGGAGGUGCAUAUCACACGGACAGGCUGUGGAUUAAUUAAACUGUGUGUAGAGACCCCAGAACAAUGUGAUCCUACAGGAGAAACAGGCUGCCUCUUCGCUUCCAUAGUCACCACCGCCCCCUCUUCUCCUAAUGGAGUAGACCUGUUAGUUGAGCUCGUUGGGGACUCCAGUGGAUACAUUGCUCUAGGACUGACUGCCAACGAGACAGAGGGAACAUCUAUGGUUUUUAUCUGUGCCCAGAACAGAAAUGGCAGUUUCUUCUUCCGCUCUGCCCAGCGCAACAACCUCAACAACACAAUUUCUCUGACACAAAGGAUUGUGAAAAACAUCACUGGCUCAGUCAAUGGGACUGUCAUCCAGUGUAAAUUCAGAGUGCCAGCGGUUAAUGCACCGACCAGGACCAGUCACGUCACCACCUUCGCCACCUUCCUCGCUGUGGGAAAUGUCACAAACGGUAUGGGUAUUGGUGACAUCAACAUACGCUUGACCAAUAAGCCAUUGAACCUGGCUGACCCUACCAGCAACGUUGCAACAGCAGGCAGCAGCGCACUCACAUCCCAAGCUGUGAUUGUCCUGCUCAGUGUGCUGAUGUAUCGUCUUUCCUGA